CCUACGGGACGCAGCAGUGGGGAAUAUUGCACAAUGGGGGGAACCCUGAUGCAGCGACGCCGCGUGAAGGAAGAAGUAUUUCGGUAUGUAAACUUCUCUCAGCAGGGAAGAAAAUGACGGUACCUGACUAAGAAGCCCCGGCUAACUACGUGCAAGCAGCCGCGGUAAUAAGUAGGGGGCAAGCGUUAUCCGGAUUUACUGGGUGUAAAGGGAGCGUAGGCGGCGAUGAAAGUCAGCCGUGAAAGCCCGGGGCUCAACUCAGGGACUGCUUUUGA
rnacentral:rRNA from 1 species